CUUUGAUAUUAAUGAGUUUUUUGGGUUCAUUGAGAACAUGGUUGUUGUUCAAUAAUAAAAUUAUUCCUCAGAAAUACAACUUGCCUAAUAAUUCUGCACUCCCUGUACAUGCCUGUGUUAUUUUUUUAAGGUACAUCCCUGUGCUCCUCCUCCUCUGUUCAUAUUUGAUAAAUGGGAGAGGUAGUUCUUGGAAAUAAAGUAAAUAACAUACAUCAGGUUUGUUCAGUUGAGCUCUUGGUGUCAUUUGAAUGUUAUCUUUGAAAGCACAGACAUGGAAUGGGAAGAAAUAUGCAAGACGGUCCUUGUGUCUGCAGGAGCUGGUGGAACUGUGAUUCUGACUCCUGCCAUUCUGGCUUCACUGGGGUUCACUUCAGCUGGAAUAGCAGCAGGCUCCAUCGCUGCCAAACUGAUGUCAUAUUUAGCAAUCGCUAGUGGAGGUGGAGUUGUAGCAGGAGGUCUCGUAGCAACCUUGCAGUCCUGGAGUGCAGCAGGUAUGUCAUGGGCUGCCACUGCAUUAUUUGGCGGUGUUGGUGGAGCAGCGGCUUGGGUGCUCUCAACUGUGUGUAACGUGACUGUGGUUUAUGAAGAUUAACACGUAAAAAAACACAAACUGACCUACAAAUGUUUUCUCCUGUGACAAAUUUUAAUCGCCUGGAUGAAACGUUAUUCUUAUGUGUGAAUGUCGAACACUGAGAUUAAAGCAUAUUUUGAGAAUUAAGUUACAAAAAUGGUUCAUAAAAAUUUCAUUCAGAUUUUAUCCAUCAUUAAAAACAAAAACAAAAAACAACUGAUAUGGUGCCUUUAUUCUCUUCAUUAAUUCAAUGUGAAAAUUAAAAGUCAUGCAAAAAUAAGUGUUUCCUUGCUUUUAUUGUAAACAACUUAAUGUAAAGCACAGUAACAAUACCAUAUGUUUCUAUAGUCCAUAAAUCUAUCACUCUUACAGAGCCACAACUCUGACGGGAGACUAUGUAGGACAGGGGUGUCAAACUCCAGUCCUUGAGGGCCGGUGUCCUGAAACUUUUCCAUGUGUCCCUGAUGCAAC
ensembl:lncRNA